AGCUCAGUGGUAGAGCGUCACGUUGCCAACGUGAAAGUCGUGGGUUCAAAUCCCAUC
rnacentral:tRNA from 1 species